GGGUCUUUAGCUCAGUGGUAGAGCAUUUGAUUGCAGAUCAAGAGGUCACCGGUUCAAACCCGGUAAAGCCCU
rfam:Ipomoea nil DNA, scaffold: scaffold0878, cultivar: Tokyo-kokei standard.